AGUGGCAAACGGGCGAGUAACGCGUACUUAACCUACCUAGAAGUUGAGAAUAACUUUAGAGAUAGAGCUAAUUCUCAAUAGUACCUGACUGCUGAAAUGCUAUCAGGUUAAAGAUUUAUCGCUUCUGGAGGGGGGUGCGUCCUAUCAGGUAGUUGGUGAGGUAACUGCUCACCAAGCCUAUGACGGGUAGCCGGUCUGAGAGGAUGUCCGGCCGCAAUGGGACUGAGACACGGCCCAUACUCCUACGGGAGGCAGCAGUGGGGAAUUUUGCGCAAUGGACGAAAGUCUGACGCAGCAAUCUCGCGUGAAGGAUGAAGCAUUAAGGUGUGUAAACUUCUUUUUUGGUGGAAGACGAAUGACGGUACACCAAGAAUAAGGGACGGCUAACUACGUGCCAGCAGCCGCGGUAAUACGUAGGUCCCAAGUGUUAUCCGGAAUUACUGGGCGUAAAGAGUCUGUAGCCUGAUAUAUAAGUCUGUUUUCAAAUACCGCAGCUCAACUGCGGACAGGGAAUAGAUACUGUAUAUCUUGAGAUUGUCAGGGGUUAGUGGAAUUUCCGGUGGAGCGGUGAAAUGCGUUGAUAUCGGAAGGAACGCCAAAAGCGAAAGCAGCUAACUAUAACAAAUCUGACGGUCAGAGACGAAAGCUUGGGUAGCAAAUGGGAUUAGAUACCCCGGUAGUCCAAGCUGUAAAUUUUGCUUGCUAGGUGUCUUGACCCGCUCUGCGGGUUGGAGUGCCGUAAUCUAACGAGUUAAGCAAGCCGCCUGGGUAGUA
rnacentral:rRNA from 1 species